rnacentral:tRNA from 1 species
GCCUAGGUGGCUCAGUCAGUUGAGCAUCCGACUUUUGCUCAGGUCAUGAUCUCCCAGUUUGUGGGUUCGAGCCCCGCAUCAGGCU